rnacentral:snRNA from 1 species
AUCGCUUCUCGGCCUUUUGGCUAAGAUCAAGUGUAGUUUCUAAGUGCCCUCAAUCUCAAUUUAUUCAUGUGAAAAAGAGAUAUUUACUUACAUUGCAGAAUUAGUAUAAUUAUUAAGUAAAAGCUUA